GGCCUGCAGCCAAGGGAGAUCGUGUAUCAGCCAUCUCGCGUUGCCACGAAAACACGACAGUCGUUCGUCACGCCUUGGAUAUAACAACAAAUCCUCCACGGCACCCGAUUUAUAUAACGCAAGAAAGCAGCUGCAAGGACACGAGGAUGUGAAAAAGCCAGUGCAGCGCGACUUCACCCAGUGCAGAGGAGCCAAUGCCAAAAAAUCAAAACACAUUGGCAUGCAAUUUGGACAAGAAAACUAGGACAACCCAGGACGUGCAUUUCUCAGCACCCAGUCAACUGCCAGAAGUGACUCGAACACAGGCCACCAGUGGCACUCGGCUGUACCACUGCAGUGCUGUGGAAAUUGCCAGCACCAGCGGCUUUGCAACAGCUGUUUAACAGCAUGUCGGAGACAAUGCCUACGAAAUUAUUGGCCCUGAUGACGAGAGCCCUCAAGGGGCAAGCGACAUCUCUGUUGCAGAAGUGAGCCCGAUACCACAUGAAGUUACCAUGACAGGUGGCACGGCAGCAAUAGAUACAGAGACGGCCAUGUCUACUGCAGCUGCAACAGUGUACGAGGCAAGCAGCAGUGUGUCAGCAUCAGCAGCAGUGUCAGAAGGAACCGCACCAGGCCUGGUAGAGCAACAUGUGUGCUAUCACUGUGACUUUUUUGUAGUGCAUACAACUCAUUUGCUCAACAUAGAAAAGCUUUUCACCACGACUGUGAGCCAGUGUUCUUGUGCAGCAAGUGCAAGACUAAGUUAAGUGUUAUAACACAGUACAAACAUCACUGUAAGAUAUGAAAACAUAUUACAGUUGUUGCCUCCCCAGCCAGCCCACAUAGCGACAACAAUGUGGAACACAUGGUGGGACACC